rnacentral:misc_RNA from 1 species
AAACCGACUAUAUCCGCUUACGCGCUAUACGCUCUGAACUCCAGAACGUUCUGCUAGAAAUUCAACAUGAAAAUAUUACGUGUCGCUUUAGGGGUUGCAGUGUUUGUCUCAGUGCUUGUUAACUCAGGAGAUGCGACGAAUUUAUUGUCAAUAGACGAGCUACUAGAUGUAUUGACUGAAAAGCUGUUGUUUCGAUACUUGGAAUGUGAGAACCGAGACAAAACCAUGCAGGUCACCGACGCACUAGGUGGAUACGACCACGGACAUAUGCACUGCUGGCGGGAGUAUUUUCUGACUUCAAGCACAAAUAACACCCGAACUGAAAGCAAUACUGGAGAGAUAAGCAAUAAUAUCAUAAAUGGUACCUUAUCGGCUGGAAGUAUUCAAGGCUCUAACCAAGGAUCGGAGUAGAUCUUAGAAAAACGGAUUGCAAGACAAAUGAAAUUAUUUACAAGAAAAAAGAACGAAAAGGUGAUAAUUUAUCAACAUCUGGAAAAGCGUUGUAAAUCAAUUUUCAUAGGAUUUUACAUUAAUAAAAGUACCUGUUUGCAGGAAGAGAAUUUUGGAAGUGAUGUUGGCCUAAUAAUGAACUUUUUCUGUAACGCUAGGCAACUUAGUUGAUUUUCUAUUAAACUAAACUUCUGCAGA